rnacentral:rRNA from 2 species
UUCGCAAUGCCCGAAAGGGUGACGAAGCGACGCCGCGUGGGUGAGGAAGGCCUUCGGGUUGUAAAGCCCUGUCAGGAGUUAAGAAAUGUAAGUGCGCUAAUAUCGCGUUUAUUUGACGAAGGCUCCAAAGGAAGUCACGGCUAACUCUGUGCCAGCAGCCGCGGUAAUACAGAGGUGGCAAGCGUUGUUCGGAAUUAUUGGGCGUAAAGAGCACGUAGGUGGGUUUGCAAGUCAGAUGUGAAAGCCUCCUGUUCAACGGGAGAAUUGCAUCUGAAACUGCAGAUCUUGAGUGUAGGAGGGGAGAAUGGAACUUCUGGUGGAGCGGUGAAAUGCGUAGAUAUCAGAAGGAACGCCGGCGGCGAAAGCGAUUCUCUGGCCUAUUACUGACACUCAGUGUGCGAAAGCUAGGGGAGCAAACGGGAUUAGAUACCCCGGUAGUCCUAGCCGUAAACGAUGGGCACUAAGUAGAGGGGUUUU